UACAGAGGUGGCAAGCGUUGUUCGGAAUUACUGGGCGUAAAGGGCGCGUAGGCGGUUCGUUAAGUCCUGUGUGAAAUCCCCCGGCUCAACUGGGGAACUGCACAGGAAACUAGCGGGCUUGAGUUCGGGAGAGGGAAGCGGAAUUCCGGGUGUAGCGGGUGAAAUGCGUAGAUAUCCGGAGGAACACCGGUGGCGAAGGCGGCUUCCUGGACCGACACUGACGCUGAGGCGCGAAAGCUAGGGGAGCAAACGGG
rnacentral:rRNA from 1 species